rnacentral:tRNA from 1 species
UGCGUCUUAGCUCAGCUGGGAGAGCAUCUGCCUUACAAGCAGAGGGUCAUAGGUUCGAGCCCUAUAGGCCCCAUCA